rnacentral:rRNA from 1 species
GUUGAACGCUGGCGGCGUGCUUAACACAUGCAAGUCGUGCGGUAACAGGCGUAGCAAUACGUGCUGACGAGCGGCGAACGGGUGCGUAAUACAUGGGAAUCUGCCUUUUAGUGGGGAAUAACCCGGCGAAAGCCGGGCUAAUGCCGCAUAAGAUCUUCGGAUGAAAGCGGGGGAUCGUAAGACCUCGCGCUGAUAGAUGAGCCCAUGCCGGAUUAGCUAGNGGUGAGGUAACGGCUCACCAAGGCGACGAUCCGUAGCUGGUCUGAGAGGACGGCCAGCCACACUGGGACUGAGACACGGCCCAGACU